AUUAUCAACAACCCUAAAUAAAACGAGCCAGUUAGCAGAUAUAUUUAAUUUUUAAUUUCUUUCAUCGGUUAUUUAGUUGGCCAAAAGUGAAGUAAAAAGUAAGAAUCAAAAGAGCUUCUAUUCUGAACUGAAAGUGGAAGUGCUACCAGCUACAUUCGUACAUAUAUUGGAUAAGCAGAGCGGCGAGACGUGCUGAGUGAGUGAGUGAGUGUGCGUCACUUUGUUAAUCAAAAUAUUAGGAAAAAUUGAAUUUUCGACGCGUGAGUGCAGCGAGCAAUCUCUUGCUAAUUGUUAAUUGUUGUGCAGUUAGUCCGGAAGUCGAAACAGUGCUCAACGGUGAUGUCCCCAACGCACAAUAUCGCGAUUUUUCGUUCUUAAAUUUUACCUACUCGACCAACACACACACUUACCCACACACACGCGGCGGCCGAGCAGCAGAGAAAGAAGAAGCAGAGUCGGAGGCAAAAGCGAAGCGGAGACCAUCAACUUAAAAUUUGCGAGGACAGUCCGGUCUUGGCACAGAGAACGAAUUCCACCCGCGCGCACACAACACAGCAUGUUCAGUGGACAUGGGCGGAUUCCUGGAUAAGCCGAACACCGCCAAGCACAAUGACGAGGGCGCGGGCAACAAGCUGCUCUUCGGAGUCAGCUCCAUGCAGGGCUGGCGCUGCGAGAUGGAGGACGCGUACUACGCCCGUGCCGGCCUGGGCAAUGCCCUGGACGACUGGAGCUUCUUUGCCGUGUUCGAUGGGCACGCUGGUUGCAAGGUUUCCGAGCACUGCGCCAAGCACCUGCUGGACAGCAUUGUCAGCACCGAUGAGUUCAUUGGCGGCGACCACGUAAAGGGCAUACGCACGGGAUUCCUUCGCAUCGACGAGGUUAUGCGGGAUCUGCCGGAGUUCACCAUGGAGGAGGAGAAGUGCGGAGGUACCACCGCCGUUUGCGCAUUUGUCAGCUCCACCCAGGUGUACAUCGCCAAUUGUGGGGACUCUCGGGCAGUGCUCUGCCGUCAGGGGGUGCCCGUGUUCGCAACGCAGGACCAUAAGCCCAUCCUGCCGGAGGAAAAGGAGCGCAUCCACAAUGCCGGCGGCAGCGUUAUGAUCAAGCGAGUGAACGGAACACUGGCGGUUUCACGUGCUCUCGGCGACUACGACUUCAAGAACGUGAAGGAGAAGGGACAGUGUGAGCAGCUGGUCUCGCCGGAGCCGGAGAUCUUCUGCCAGAGCCGACAAGACACCGAUGAGUUUCUAGUGCUCGCAUGUGACGGCAUCUGGGACGUGAUGACCAACGAGGACGUGUGCAGCUUCAUUCACUCGCGGAUGCGGGUGACCAGCGACCUGGUCAACAUCGCCAACCAGGUGGUGGACACGUGCCUGCACAAGGGCAGUCGGGAUAACAUGAGCAUCAUCAUUAUCGCCUUCCCAGGAGCUCCGAAGCCCACCAUGGAGGCGAUAGAGGCUGAGAACAGGCUGGAGAAACAAAUCGAGAAGAUCACAAGAGAUGAGAUAGAGUCUAGCAAGGUUACCGACUACGUGGAUCUGCUGAAGUGUCUCCAAAACAGAGACGACAUCGAAGGUCUUCCCCCCGGUGGCGGUUUGCAGUCCAAAUAUCACGUUAUCGAGCGCACAUUCAAGCAAGAGUUCCCGGAUCGACCAUGUGAACUGUAUGCAUAUGAUGAUAUAUGAAUUUUGUAAUGCUAAUUGUUCAUUUUUAAACCAACAAACAAACCACCAACAACAACCAAUCAACCAAGAGAACAAAGAUAACUCAAACACCACCCCCCCAAGCUUCGCAUACUUCAAAUAGUCCAACGCAUUAGGUUGCAGUCGAAACACGAAAUACAAAACCAGUUAAAAAAUGCCGCAAGACGGACAGAAAACACAGAGCCACACAACUUGAACGAAGCAAACAUACAAACAAAAACAAACAAAACUCACACCAAACAGUUUUCUACUUUGAUAAACACAAAAGAAAAACCUACUAAUAAUGAUAAUAAUAAGCAUUACGAUACAUUUAUAGUUUAUACGAAGCCAGUCCUAAAACACAACAAACGAACAGCCAACACACACGACCACACACACAACUCUAUGAUAUAGAAGAGAUCUAGAACAGAGCGUACCUAAGCAGACCUCAGAGAACCGAAAUGGGACUAAAACAGCGGAUGGCUCAAAGCCAACACCAGCAGCACACCAGAUACCACUACAUCUAUCUGAUUUAUCUGAACAGAUCGACUCUGCAGGACCUUGUCUACCCAUGUGAAUGUUAACCCUCUGUGUGCCCUAUCGUUCCGUCACACCUCAUCAAUCAGUAAUCAUCAGUCCAAACUUCAGAAAAACUUCCACAAAUAUUGGAAAGAAAUAAAAAUAGCAAACUAUUGAAAAAGAAAAAGCAGCGGAAAUUACGUAUCCGCUCAGAUUUUUGUUUAUCAGAAUUGAAUUUUUAUUUUUCAAAACUAUGUAUUAACUAUUGAUUCCGAAACGAAGCGGACUUAUGUAAGUUGUAAAAUGUUUGUUACCGAAAACACUUUUUGUUCAUAUUUUGUAUAUGUAUAUGAGAAAAAUGUAUCGCGUGGCGUGAAAGCGAAACUUAAUAAUGUAAAGUAAACAAAAAAAGUGAAAAGUGAAAAAAAAAUACAGAAAAAGGAAAAACCAAACUAGCAAACAAAAUCUGUAACUAUCUAUGUAUGGAAACGAGAAAGUAAUACCUAAAACCUAAAGUAAGCAAACAAAACGCAAACCCACAAUAAUGUCCGAUCUUAAAGAAAGAAUGAAAACUAAGAACUAUUAAUUUA